CUGGGAACUGCAUUCAAAACUGACAAGCUAGAGUAUGGUAGAGGGUGGUGGAAUUUCCUGUGUAGCGGUGAAAUGCGUAGAUAUAGGAAGGAACACCAGUGGCGAAGGCGACCACCUGGACUGAUACUGACACUGAGGUGCGAAAGCGGGGGGAGCAAACAGGAUUAGAUACCCUGGUAGUCCACGCCGUAAACGAUGCCAACUAGCCGUUGGGAGCCUUGAGCUCUUAUUGGCGCAGCUAACGCAUUAAGUUGACCGCCUGGGGAGUACGGCCGCAAGGUUAAAACUCAAAUGAAUUGACGGGGGCCCGCACAAGCGGUGGAGCAUGUGGUUUAAUUCGAAGCAACGCGAAGAACCUUACCAGGCCUUGACAUCCAAUGAACUUUCCAGAGAUGGAUGGGUGCCUUCGGGAACAU
rnacentral:rRNA from 1 species